AUUGAACGCUGGCGGCAUGCCUUACACAUGCAAGUCGAACGGCAGCAUGAUCUAGCUUGCUCGAUUGAUGGCGAGUGGCGACCGGGUGAGUAAUACAUCGGAACGUGCCCUGUAGUGGGGGAUAACUAGUCGAAAGAUUAGCUAAUACCGCAUACGACCUGAGGGUGAAAGUGGGGGACCGCAAGGCCUCAUGCUAUAGGAGCGGCCGAUGUCUGAUUAGCUAGUUGGUGAGGUAAAGGCUCACCAAGGCGACGAUCAGUAGCUGGUCUGAGAGGACGAUCAGCCACACUGGGACUGAGACACGGCCCAGACUCCUACGGGAGGCAGCAGUGGGGAAUUUUGGACAAUGGGCGAAAGCCUGAUCCAGCAAUGCCGCGUGUGUGAAGAAGGCCUUCGGGUUGUAAAGCACUUUUGUCCGGAAAGAAAUGGCUCUGGUUAAUACCUGGGGUCGAUGACGGUACCGGAAGAAUAAGGACCGGCUAACUACGUG
rnacentral:rRNA from 1 species